AUUGAACGCUGGCGGCAGGCCUAACACAUGCAAGUCGAGCGGAUGAAGGGAGCUUGCUCCUGGAUUCAGCGGCGGACGGGUGAGUAAUGCCUAGGAAUCUGCCUGGUAGUGGGGGAUAACGUCCGGAAACGGGCGCUAAUACCGCAUACGUCCUGAGGGAGAAAGUGGGGGAUCUUCGGACCUCACGCUAUCAGAUGAGCCUAGGCCGGAUUAGCUAGUUGGUGGGUUAAAGGCCUACCAAGGCGACGAUCCGUAACUGGUCUGAGAGGAUGAUCAGUCACACUGGAACUAAGACACGGUCCAGACUCCUGCGGGAGGCAGCAGUGGGGAAUAUUGGACAAUGGGCGAAAGCCUGAUCCAGCCAUGCCGCGUGUGUGAAGAAGGUCUUCGGAUUGUAAAGCACUUUAAGUUGGGAGGAAGGGCAGUAAGUUAAUACCUUGCUGUUUUGACGUGACCAACAGAAGAAGCACCGGCUAACUUCGUG
rnacentral:rRNA from 1 species